CCUACGGGGGGCUGCAGUGGGGAAUAUUGGACAAUGGGGGCAACCCUGAUCCAGCCAUGCCGCGUGCGUGAAGAAGGCCCUCGGGUUGUAAAGCACUUUCAGUGAGGAAGAACGCCUGGUGGUUAAUACCCAUCAGGAAAGACAUCACUCACAGAAGAAGCAUCGGCCAACUCCGUGCCAGCAGCCGCGGUAAUACGGAGGGUGCGAGCGUUAAUCGGAAUUACUGGGCGUAAAGCGCGCGUAGGUGGCUUGAUAAGCCGGUUGUGAAAGCCCCGGGCUCAACCUGGGAACGGCAUCCGGAACUGUCAAGCUAGAGUGCAGGAGAGGAAGGUGGAAUUCCUGGUGUAGCGGUGAAAUGCGUAGAGAUCGGGAGGAAUACCAGUGGCGAAGGCGGCCUUCUGGACUGACACUGACACUGAGGUGCGAAAGCGUGGGUAGCAAACAGGAUUAGAUACCCUUGUAGUC
rnacentral:rRNA from 1 species